rnacentral:rRNA from 1 species
GGAUUGACAGAGUUGCAAGUCUGCGUGCAGAAAACUAAUGAGACUCUCAGAGAGUAUAUUCAGAGGUGGAUCACUUUGCACCACACUGUGGAAAAUGUCUCUGAUCAUCAGGCAGUAUGCGCCUUCAAAGACGGCGUCAAGAACAGAGAACUGAGUUUGAAAUUUGGUCGAACCGGUGACAUGACCUUGAGUCGGAUGAUGGAGAUUGCUACCAAGUACGCCAACGGCGAAGAAGAAGACCGACUCCGAAGCGGCAAGCACAAGCCGAGUCAGUCGGAAAAAGGAAACACCAGUCGGAAACAGAAGCGGAAGGCUGAACCGGCAGCUCCUGGAGAGGCUCUGGCCGUGACUCAAGGAAAGUUUAAGGGGAAACCAAAAGGAUCCUGGAACCCCAAGAAGAUAAAGGAUAAAGAAGGGAACGACGUGAUGGAUAUGCCGUGUCACAUUCACACGAAGAAAGAUGAAGAGGGGAAUAUCAUUUACCCAAAGCACACCACUCGCCAAUGUCGACUCCUGAUCCAGCAGUUUCAGGAAAAACAGUCUAAGGACAAGGAGAAGGAGUCGGACAAGGCCGAAGACAAAGAGGACAGUGAGGGAGGAUAUCCGCAUAUCAACUCCACUCUGAUGAUCUUUGCAGAUGUGGAAAGCAGAAGUCGACUGAAAGUGAUUAACCGAGAGGUGAACAUGGUUGCCCCAGCAAAGGCAAAUUAUCUGAAGUGGUCUCAAACACCCAUCACAUUCGACCAAUCUGAUCACCCGACUCAUAUUGCCACCCCUGGGAGGCAAGCUUUGGUGGUCGAUCCAGUUGUCGAAGGCACUCGACUGACAAAGGUGCUGAUGGAUGGUGGAAGUGGG